AUCAGUAUUCAAUUGUCAGAAGGUGAAAUUCUUGGAUUUAUUGAAGACUAACUACUGCGAAAGCAUUUGCCAAGGAUGUUUUCAUUAAUCAAGAACGAAAGUUAGGGGAUCGAAGACGAUCAGAUACCGUCGUAGUCUUAACCAUAAACUAUGCCGACUAGGGAUCGGACGAUGUUAUUUUUUGACGCGUUCGGCACCUUACGAGAAAUCAAAGUGCUUGGGCUCCAGGGGGAGUAUGGUCGCAAGGCUGAAACUUAAAGAAAUUGACGGAAGGGCACCACCAGGGGUGGAGCCUGCGGCUUAAUUUGACUCAACACGGGGAAACUCACCAGGUCCAGACACAAUGAGGAUUGACAGAUUGAGAGCUCUUUCUUGAUUUUGUGGGUGGUGGUGCAUGGCCGUUCUUAAGUUGGUGGAGUGAUUUGUCUGCUUAAUUGCGAUAACGAACGAGACCUUAACCUGCUAAAUGAGCCCGUAUUGCUUUGGCAGUACGCCGGCUUCUUAGAGGAGACUAUCUGGCUCAAGCCGAUGGAAGUUUGAGGCAAUAACAGGUCUGUGAUGCCCUUAGAUGUUCUGGACCGCACGCGCGCU
rnacentral:rRNA from 1 species